rnacentral:rRNA from 1 species
AUUAUGUAGAUUAUUUUUUUUUGUUUUGUAUUUUUUAUUUUUUAAAAGUAAUUUAUUGUUUUUGUAUAUAUUAUAGAUUGAAUUUUUUUAAUUAUAGUUUAAUUUUACUGUAUUGGAUGUAUUUUAAUUUUUAAAAGUGGAUUAUUUGUUGUACCUUGUGUAUCAGGGUUUAUUUAAUUUUAUUAUUUAUUUUUUAUUUCUCGAUUUUAAAGGAUCUAAAUAAUUAUUGUGGUUAUUGUUUUAUAAAUAUUAAUAAUAAUUAUUUUGUAGUGAUAUGUUAUUCGUCUUUAAUUGUAUCUAGUUUUUUAAGAAAUGAAUAUAAUUCAUAUAUUAAUAAUUUAUAUGUCUAUCUUUGUAGUUUAUAUUAUGUUAAUAUUAAUAUUAAGGGGGAUUAGCUCUUUAAUAUAUUUUUAUAAUUUUAUUAUAUUUUUAUUUAUGUUGGUUUUGUAGUAACUAUCAAUUUAAGUUUGUUAAAAUUUUAUUUUGAGUUAAUUUUAUUUUUAUAAUUAUUUAAAUAUUUUAUUAAAACUUUAUAUUUAAUUAUUUUUUAUUUAUAAUUAUGAUGGAAUUAGUAAUUUUUUAUUUAGUUUUAGGAAUUAUUUGUUUAAUUUUUAAAAAGAACUAGGCAAAAUAAAUUAUUCUCGCAUGUUUAUCAAAAACAUCUUUUCUUGUUUAUUUAAAUAUGAAAUAUGACCUGCCCACUGAUUAAUUUUGAAGGGCCGCGGUAUUUUGACCGUGCAAAGGUAGCAUAAUCAUUAGUUUUUUAAUUGAAGACUGGUAUGAAUGGUUGGACGAGGAAUAAUCUGUUUCUUAUUAAUUUUAUUAAAUUUAAUUUUUAAGUUAAAAGGCUUAAAUUUUUUUGUGGGACGAGAAGACCCUAUAGAGUUUUAUAAAUAUUAUAUUAUAUUUUGUUUUGAUUUAUAUUUUAUUAUUUUAUUUAUUUUGUUGGGGUGAUGGAAAGAAUUAUAUAACUCUUUUUUUAUUUAUAUAUUGAUUUAUAAUAUUUUGAUCCAAUUUUUUUUUGAUUAUAAGAUUAAAUUACCUUAGGGAUAACAGCGUAAUCUUUCUUGAAAGUUCUUAUUGAUAGAUGGGUUUGCGACCUCGAUGUUGGAUUAAGUUUUAAUUUGGGUGUAGAAGUUCAAUAAUUUAGGUCUGUUCGACCUUUAAAAUCUUACAUGAUCUGAGUUCAAACCGGUGUAAGCCAGGUUGGUUUUUAUCUAUAGAAAAUUUUAUAUCUUAGUACGAGAGGACCAGAUAUUUAAAAUAAUUUUUAUUUUAUGAAUAUUAAUAAUUUUAUU